GGCAGCACAGUAAGAGCUUGCUCUUAUGGGUGGCGAGUGGCGGACGGGUGAGGAAUACAUCGGAAUCUACCUUUUCGUGGGGGAUAACGUAGGGAAACUUACGCUAAUACCGCAUACGACCUUCGGGUGAAAGCAGGGGACCUUCGGGCCUUGCGCGGAUAGAUGAGCCGAUGUCGGAUUAGCUAGUUGGCGGGGUAAAGGCCCACCAAGGCGACGAUCCGUAGCUGGUCUGAGAGGAUGAUCAGCCACACUGGAACUGAGACACGGUCCAGACUCCUACGGGAGGCAGCAGUGGGGAAUAUUGGACAAUGGGCGCAAGCCUGAUCCAGCCAUACCGCGUGGGUGAAGAAGGCCUUCGGGUUGUAAAGCCCUUUUGUUGGGAAAGAAGUGCAGGCCGGUAAUACCUGGUUGGUGUUGACGGUACCCAAAGAAUAAGCACCGGCUAAUACA
rnacentral:rRNA from 1 species